rnacentral:rRNA from 1 species
UACGAAGGGGGCUAGCGUUGCUCGGAAUCACUGGGCGUAAAGCGCACGUAGGCGGCUUGUUAAGUCAGGGGUGAAAUCCUGGAGCUCAACUCCAGAACUGCCUUUGAUACUGAGGAUCUUGAGUUCGGGAGAGGUGAGUGGAACUGCGAGUGUAGAGGUGAGAUUCGUAGAUAUUCGCAAGAACACCAGUGGCGAAGGCGGCUCACUGGCCCGAUACUGACGCUGAGGCACGAAAGCGUGGGGAGCAAACAGG